CGGGCCGUGGCGCAGCCUGGUUAGCGCGCCUGACUGGGGGUCAGGAGGUCGCGAGUUCGAAUCUCGCCGGCCCGACCA
rnacentral:tRNA from 1 species